GUAUCAAAUCCAUCAAUUGGGUCAAUAUCAUUUUCACAGGUCAAUGCAAACUAUAAUCCACAUUAAAACAGAAACUAAGCAUCCAACAAUUCCAUAAGACAUGAUAAACUAUCAAAAAAGAAAAAAAAAACUCAAACAACAAAUCGAGACCCACAAACAAAACACAUUGAUUUGUGAAAUCAUUCUUCAUCCCAGCAUUAGCUUUUGGCCCUUCUGAUACACUGGACAAGGAACUUGUCUGAUUUGAUAAUUGUUUCGAGUAAAAGAACCAGAAGCUGAAUUGAACUUAUAUUGACAGAAGCACUGUUAUCAAAUAUUGAGUAAAUAGAAUCAAGCAUUGAAAUUAGUUGUACACCAAGCGUAUGAGACACAUAAACACAUCAGUCAAGUUUCAUUUUUUAGCCUCCAAAGGUGCUUCUACUCACGACAUAGUAACCAGGGACUCGAAAAGUUCCAGAUCUGAACCCAUAAAAAAAUUCCAGAUCN
rnacentral:lncRNA from 1 species